rnacentral:rRNA from 1 species
AUUGAACGCUGGCGGCAGGCCUAACACAUGCAAGUCGAGCGGAUGAAGGGAGCUUUCUCCUGGAUUCAGCGGCGGACGGGCGAGUAAUGCCUAGGAAUCUGCCUGGUCUUUGGGGAUAACGUCCGGACACGGGCGCUAAUACCGCAUACGUCCUUAGGGUGAAAGUGGGGGAUCUUCGGACAUCACGCUAUCUGCUGAGCCUAGGUCGGAUUAGCUAGUUGGUGGGGUAAAGGCCUACCAAGGCGACGAUCCGUAACUGGUCUGAGAGGAUGAUCAGUCACACUGGAACUGAGACACGGUCCAGACUCCUACGGGAGGCAGCAGUGGGGAAUAUUGGACAAUGGGCGAAAGCCUGAUCCAGCCAUGCCGCGUGUGUGAAGAAGGUCUUCGGAUUGUAAAGCACUUUAAGUUGGGAGGAAGGGCAGUAAGUUAAUACCUGGCUGUUUUGACGUUACCAACAGAAUAAGCACCGGCUAACUUCGUG